rnacentral:rRNA from 1 species
AUUGAACGCUGGCGGCGUGCCUAACACAUGCAAGUCGAGCGGUAACAGGUGUAGCAAUACAUGCUGACGAGCGGCGGACGGGUGAGUAACGCUUGGGAAUCUGCCUGUUAGUGGGGGACAACCCGGGGAAACUCGGGCUAAUACCGCAUACGCACUACGGUGGAAAGCCGGGGACCGCAAGGCCUGGCGCUAACAGAUGAGCCCAAGUCGGAUUAGCUAGUUGGUAGGGGUAACGGCCACCAAGGCGACGAUCCGUAACCUGGUCUGAGAGGACGACCAGUCACACCGGAACUGAGACACGGUCCGGACUCCUACGGGAGGCAGCAGUGGGGAAUAUUGGACAAUGGGCGAAAGACCUGAUCCAGCGACGCCGCGUGGGUGAAGAAGGCC